rnacentral:rRNA from 1 species
CCUGCCGGACCUGACUGCUAUCGGAUUGAUACUAAGCCAUGCGAGUCUUUGUAGUAAUACAAGGCAGACGGCUCAGUAACACGUAGUCAACCUACCCUAUGGACAAGAAUAAUCUCGGGAAACUGGGCAUAAUUCUUGAUAGAUCAUAGUGCCUGGAAUGGUUUAUGGUUAAAAUGAUUCGUCGCCAUAGGAUGGGACUGCGGCCUAUCAGCUUGUUGGUGAGGUAAUGGCCCACCAAGGCGAUUACAGGUACGGGCUCUGAGAGGAGAAGCCCGGAGAUGGGUACUGAGACACGGACCCAGGCCCUAUGGGGCGCAGCAGGCGAGAAAACUUUGCAAUGUGCGAAAGCACGACAAGGUUAAUCCGAGUGAUUUCUGCUAAAGAAAUCUUUUGCCAGUCAUAAAACCACUGGUGAAUAAGGGGUGGGCAAGUUCUGGUGUCAGCCGCCGCGGUAAAACCAGCACCUCAAGUGGUCAGGAUGAUUAUUGGGCCUAAAGCAUCCGUAGCCGGCUUUGUAAGUUUUCGGUUAAAUCCAUGUGCUCAACGCAUGGGCUGCCGAAAAUACUGCAUGGCUAGGGAGUGGGAGAGGUAGACGGUACUCAGUAGGAAGGGGUAAAAUCCUUUGAUCUAUUGAUGACCACCUGUGGCGAAGGCGGUCUACCAGAACACGUUCGACGGUGAGGGAUGAAAGCUGGGGGAGCAAACCGGAUUAGAUACCCGGGUAGUCCCAGCUGUAAACGAUGCAGACUCGAUGAUGCAUUGGCAUAAUAGCCAAUGCAGUGUCGCAGGGAAGCCGUUAAGUCUGCCGCCUGGGAAGUACGUACGCAAGUAUGAAACUUAAAGGAAUUGGCGGGGGAGCACCACAAGGGGUGAAGCCUGCGGUUCAAU